rnacentral:rRNA from 1 species
UACGUAGGGUGCAAGCGUUGUCCGGAAUUAUUGGGCGUAAAGGGCGCGUAGGCGGCUUGGCAAGUGGAUGGUGAAAUCCCUCGGCUUAACCGAGGAACGGCCGUCCAAACUGCUUCGCUUGAGACCGGGAGAGGUGAGUGGAAUUCCCAGUGUAGCGGUGAAAUGCGUAGAUAUUGGGAGGAACACCAGUGGCGAAGGCGGCUCACUGGACCGGUACUGAUGCUGAAGCGCGAAAGCGUGGGGAGCAAACGGG